rnacentral:ribozyme from 1 species
CAGAGAUCAGCUCGCCGAAGAUCGACUCGCGAAGUUUGAUUGUCCCGGAAAGCAGCAAGGUUGAUACUGUGCAGAAAGAGAUAACUUCAUUGGCGUCAUCGGUGACAGCAUCUGAAGCACCGACUGUGGCAACAUCAGUGGCAACAUCAGUGGCAACACCAACAGAUGCCGUAGAGACUAGUGAAGAGACAAAUGAGUCCCAGAUUGAUGCC